AGAGUUUUAAGUUAAGAAAACUGUAGGUUUUCAAGACCUACAAUGAAUUAUAUUAUUUAAAUUCUG
rnacentral:tRNA from 1 species